GUCUGAUGACCUCUCUCUCCUCCUCAGACACACCAGCUCCCCCUGCUGGCGAACCUAUGCAGCUCGGCAGGGCCAAAUUGCCCCCUGAAGAGCGCAGACGGAGACUGGCGUCUGGGGAGUGUCUCUAUUGUAGUGCUAAGGGACACAGCCUUAACAC